CCUUAGAGUUUGAUCAUGGCUCAGAACGAACGCUGGCGGCAGGCCUAACACAUGCAAGUCGAACGAAGCCUUCGGGUUUAGUGGCGGACGGGUGAGUAACGCGUGGGAACGUGCCCUUCUCUACGGAAUAGUCCUGGGAAACUGGGUUUAAUACCGUAUACGCCCUUCGGGGGAAAGAAUUUCGGGGAAGGAUCGGCCCGCGUUGGAUUAGGUAGUUGGUGGGGUAAUGGCCCACCAAGCCGACGAUCCAUAGCUGGUUUGAGAGGAUGAUCAGCCACACUGGGACUGAGACACGGCCCAGACUCCUACGGGAGGCAGCAGUGGGGAAUCUUAGACAAUGGGGGCAACCCUGAUCUAGCCAUGCCGCGUGAGUGACGAAGGCCCUAGGGUCGUAAAGCUCUUUCGCCAGGGGAUGAUAAUGACAGUACCUGGUUAAAGAAACCCCGGCNUAACUCCGUGCCAGCCAGCCGCGGGUAAUACNGAGGGGGGUUUAGCGUUUGUUUCGGGAAUUUACUGGGCGUUAAAGCGCGCCUUAGGCCGGAC
rnacentral:rRNA from 1 species